AAAAUAGCAAAAAUUAUAAAGUUUCUCGUGCCGAAUUGCUAUAGUCAUGGCAUGGUAGACUUAUCUAUACACACGUAAAAUAUGAGCGAUU
rfam:Spinacia oleracea cultivar SynViroflay scaffold28248.con0003.1, whole genome shotgun sequence.